GUACGCUGGCGGCACGCCUAACACAUGCAAGUCGAACGAAGUAGCAAUACUUAGUGGCAGACGGGUGAGUAACAUGUAGGUAUCUGCCCUUUGGCCUGGAAUAACACGAGGAAACUUGUGCUAAUACCGGAUAAGUCUUUACGGAGAAAGCUUUAUGCACCAUUGGAUGAGCCUGCACUUGAUUAGUUUGUUGGUGGGGUAAUGGCCUACCAAGACUGUGAUCAAUAGCUGAUUUGAGAGGAUGAUCAGCCACAUUGGGACUGAGACACGGCCCAAACUCCUACGGGAGGCAGCAGUGGGGAAUCUUGCACAAUGGAGGAAACUCUGAUGCAGCGAUGCCGCGUGAGUGAAGAAGGCCUUUGGGUUGUAAAGCUCUUUCGUCGGGGAAGAAAAUGACUGUACCCGAAUAAGAAGGUCCGGCUAA
rnacentral:rRNA from 1 species